AUGCGCUCUGCGGCCGCUGGCCUGUGCUCGCCGCUCACACGCCCCCUGCGCGCCGGGCCCGUACACCGCCACCGGCCCUCACAGAGCCGUCCGGCCUUCGCCCGGACGCUGGGCCGCCGCCCGGGCACCGCGCCGCGCCCGCCCUCCACCCGGCCACCUCCUGUCCUCCCCGCCGCCCCCUUUCUUACCGGCAGGCUUGGCUGGGCGGAGGAAGCCGACUCGGGUCGACGGCCUCCCCCGCGCCCAGGAUCUCCGCCGCCGAGUCCUAGGGCUCCGGGCGUCUUGGGAGAGAUACCUGCAGACCCAGCUCUUCAAGCAGAGAUUGGCCAAGUCCAGCCAUUAUGCCCCUGUGCUGACCCACUAGCACCAUAUCCGGAUCUGCAGAUCAUGUCCUGGGAGAAACGCUGUUUCCCACAACAAACCUCCUACAUGCACAACUCAGAGUCUAUUUCCUCAGAUCCCAACCUGCAACUGCUUAUAAAUAUGUGUGUGUGAAAAUGGAAGGAGAGAAAGUAAGAAGUUUGAAUGAGUUGGUUAAUUUUGCCCAUCAUAUGUGGCAUAAUCAUGGGAGAAAGGACAAUAAAACAAGGCUCGGAUAUUAAAUUCAUUUUUUUUUCUUUUUUUUUGGGAUGGAGUCUCGCACUGUCACCCAGGCUGUAGUGUAAUGGCGCAAUCUCAGUUUACUGCAAUCUCUGCCUCCGGGGUUCAAGCAAUUCUCCUGCCUCAGCCUCCCUAGUGGCUAGGACUACAGGCACGUGCUACCACGCCCAGCUAAUUUUUUUGUGUUUUCAGUAGAGACGGGGUUUCAUCAUGUUGGCCAGGAUUGUCUCGAUCUCCUCACCUCAUGAUCCACCUGCCUCGGCCUCCCAAAGUGCUGGGAAUACAGGUGUGAUCUGGCCAUUAAAUUCAUUUUCUUGUAUAAUACUACUGGUUCUAUUUUAUCUAUAGUCCUUACAUUGGAUUAUCAUUUAUUUACCUCUCAAUGUUAGACCACCUCGUCCUUCCAUUCUCUACCCUCUUUUCUCUCUAUAAUUCCAUCAAGAGGCCAGAUGGGGCUCACAUCUGUAAUCCCAGCACUUUGAGAGGCUGACAUGGGAGGAUCACUUGAGGCCAGGAGUCUGAGAACAGCCUGGGCAAUAUAGCAAGACUUAGUCUCUCUCUCUCUUUUUUUUUUUUUUUUGAGAUGGAGUUUCGCUGUUGUUAUCCAGACUGGAGUGCAAUGGCAUGAUCUCGGCUCACCGCAACCUCCGCCUUCUGGGUUCAAGCAAUUCUCCUGCCUCAGCCUCCCGAGUAGCUGGGACUACAGGCGCACACCACCAUGCCCAGCUAAUUUUUGUAUUUUUAGUAGAGACGGGGUUUCACCAUGUUGACCAGGAUGGUCUCGAUCUCUUGACCUCGUGAUCCACCCGCCUUGUCCUCCCAAAGUGCUGGGAUUAUAGGCGUGAGCCACCGCACCCGGCCAAGACCCAGUCUCUUAAAAAUAGUUAUAAACAAUCUUUUCCAUUCGGGUAAGUCUUAUGAAUUGAAUUAGCACCUGUACACACAUGGAUUCCUAAAUCUUUAGCUCCAAUUCUAACCACUUUCUGAGGUUUAGAUAAGAAUUUUCAAAGGCUAUUUUACCUCUCAACUUGAAUUUUUUGCAGACACUUUAAAUUCAUUGUGUCCAAAACUAAACUCAUUACCAUCAAAACCACUUCCCCAUAUGGUCUCUAUCUCUUGUGUAAUACAUUCACUAUCUGCCCAGUUCCCUCAAAGUAAAUUACCUAGUUGUCAGUAUUCUC
ensembl:lncRNA